rnacentral:rRNA from 1 species
GUAACGCUGGCGGCAUGCUCACACAUGCACAAGUUGAACGGGUUUAAGUCCAUUAAAUCUUAACAAGUAGCGGACGGGUGAGUAACGCGUAAGAACCUACCUUUAGGUAAGGAAUAACUAUUGGAAACGAUAGAUAAUACCUUAUAAGCUUAUAGUAAAAGAUAAAAUCGCCUAAGGAUGGGCUUGCGUCUGAUUAGCUUGUUGGUGAUUUAAAAGAUUCACCAAGGCAACGAUCAGUAGUUGGUCUAAGAGGAUGAUCAACCACACUGGACUGAGACACGGCCCAGACCUCUACGGAGGGCAGCAGUGAGGAAUUUUCCGCAAUGGGCGAAAGCCUGACGGAGCAAUGCCGCGUGGAGGAUGAAAGCUUGUGAGUCGUAAACUCCUUUUCUUAGUGAAGAAAUAAGACGGUAUCUAAGGAAUAAGCAUCGGACUAACUCCGUGCCAGCAGCCGCGGUAAUACGGAGGAUGCAAAGCGUUAUUC